UACGAGGGGAGCAAGCGUUGUUCGGAUUUACUGGGCGUAAAGGGCGCGUAGGCGGCCACGACAAGUCACUUGUGAAAUCUCCGGGCUUAACUCGGAACGGUCAAGUGAUACUGUCGGGCUAGAGUACAGAAGGGGCAACUGGAAUUCUCGGUGUAGCGGUGAAAUGCGUAGAUAUCGAGAGGAACACCUGCGGCGAAGGCGGGUUGCUGGGCUGAUACUGACGCUGAUGCGCGAAAGCCAGGGGAGCGAACGGG
rnacentral:rRNA from 3 species